rnacentral:tRNA from 1 species
CGGGGUGUAGCGCAGUUGGUAGCGCGCCUGGUUCGGGACCAGGAGGUCGUGGGUUCAAGUCCCGCCACCCCGACCA